GUCUUUUUGAAGAUAAAAAAAGUCAAGCCUGCCCCCUGAAUUAAUUUUUAAGGGCCGCGGUAUUUUGACCGUGCGAAGGUAGCGUAAUCAUUAGUUUUUUAAUUGAAAUCUUGUAUGAAUGGUUAGACAAAAGAAAAUCUGUCUCUUUAUUAAAUAUUGAAUUUAACUUUUAAGUGAAAAGGCUUAAAUAAAUUAAAGGGACGAUAAGACCCUAUAAAGCUUAAUAUAAAAUACUAUUUAACUAAAUUUAUUUUAAUAAAAGUUUUAUAGUAUAGUUUAUUUUAUUGGGGUGAUAAGAGUAAAAUUUUUAUUAACUGCUUAAAAUAAUAAAACAUUUAUGGUUGAAAUAAAAAAAUAAAAGAUCCUAAUUAAAGAUUAAAAGUUUAAGUUACUUUAGGGAUAACAGCGUUAUUUUUUUUGAGAGCACAUAUCGAAAAAAGAGUUUGCGACCUCGAUGUUGAAUUAAAAUUUCUUUAUAGAUGUAGAAACUAUAAAAGUUGGUCUGUUCGACCUUUAAAAUUUUACAUGAUUUGAGUUCAAACCGGCGUGAG
rnacentral:rRNA from 1 species